rnacentral:rRNA from 1 species
CUAUGCGCCUUGCCAGCCCGCUCAGGUGUGCCAGCCCGCGGUAAUACAGAGGUCUCAAGCGUUGUUCGGAAUCACUGGGCGUAAAGCGUGCGUAGGCGGUUUCGUAAGUCGUGUGUGAAAGGCGGGGGCUCAACCCCCGGACUGCACAUGAUACUGCGAGACUAGAGUAAUGGAGGGGGAACCGGAAUUCUCGGUGUAGCAGUGAAAUGCGUAGAUAUCGAGAGGAACACUCGUGGCGAAGGCGGGUUCCUGGACAUUAACUGACGCUGAGGCACGAAGGCCAGGGGAGCGAAAGGG